UUGACAUACUAAGAACUUUCCAGAGAUGGAUUGGUGCCUUCGGGAACUUAGAUACAGGUGCUGCAUGGCUGUCGUCAGCUCGUGUCGUGAGAUUGUUGGGUUAAGUCCCGCAACGAGCGCAACCCUUUUCCUUAUUUGCCAGCGGGUCAUGCCGGGAACUUUAAGGAUACUGCCAGUGACAAACUGGAGGAAGGCGGGGACGACGUCAAGUCAUCAUGGCCCUUACGGCCAGGGCUACACACGUGCUACAAUGGUCGGUACAAAGGGUUGCUACCUCGCGAGAGGAUGCUAAUCUCAAAAAGCCGAUCGUAGUCCGGAUCGCAGUCUGCAACUCGACUGCGUGAAGUCGGAAUCGCUAGUAAUCGCGGAUCAGAAUGCCGCGGUGAAUACGUUCCCGGGCCUUGUACACACCGCCCGUCACACCAUGGGAGUUUGUUGCACCAGAAGUAGGUAGUCUAACCGCAAGGAGGACGCUUACCACGGUGUGGCCGAUGACUGGGGUGAAGUCGUAACAAGGUAGGCGUAGAUGA
rnacentral:rRNA from 1 species